GGGAGGGAAAAAGAGAGGAGGGGGAUACCGGAGAGGGAGGGUCGAAGUCGUCUCCGAGACCCACAGGGAAGAAGGGGGAAGGGAUCGAGUCCGAAGAGGCUGCGGAGCGUGGCCUAAGGCGGAGAGCUGGACUCCGGGGGUCUGGGCCAGGACAGGCGCCGGUCUGACCCGCCUUGCUCGCAAAUGCAGGCCGGGCUUCCUCCUCCCUUGGAGGGUGGCGGGGGAGGGGAGGGAACUUGAGGCCGGAGGGAAAGGUGGUCCCAAUCCUCCAGUUCCAGAGCUACAAAGCUUAUUCGGGGCCUCGUUAAGGGAUGUCUGGGUGCCCUCCUAAAGACUUGGGGUGCCACCACCACCCCACCCCCGAGGCACACCGGGUCUGGCUCGGUGUACCGCAUUCCCCUUCUUCCCCGGAGCAUCUGGCAGAGCUGGGAAAAAGGCAAGGAAAGCCAUCAAGGAGGAUGCUGUUGCCGCUGCUGCCUGGAGUCUUUAGUUCCUGCAGCUCUUGAGGCCUCUCUCAAUAGGGUAAGGGACUGAGGAACGCAAUGGGUCCCUGGAAACACAGCAUCCUGGAGCGGAGCAGGCAAAGGCUCAGCUAGAAACCUGGAUCUGGGGCUGUGUACUUGGGUAGCCGGAGCCAAUUUGGCCUAUUUGAAAACCCCAGGCCUUGAGGCUGCUGCUUGCUGCAGGCGUCAAGUUGAGCAGGGUAUGUGUGCCCUCUUGGGGAAAGGGUAAGAAAUGGAUCUGACUUUCUUUAUGCUUGGAGUAAGGUGGGACACUUCUCACCCCCCACACACACACACACUUGCCCAUCCUCAGGUCCCUCCCACACGCCUUCACUGGGGCGUUGAGACCCCAUCCCUCUAGAAGUACAUACAACCGGCCCCCUUCAGAAUUUAGAAGCCCUGAUUGAAAAAAAUGCUGAGCGGGUGAUUGGGCCUCAUCACUGGGGCCAUGGACCCAGACGGCAGAAAUCCACCCAGCGUCACCAACCCGAGCCUGACUCCGAGAGAGACCAGGCGAGCUCCGCGGGGCCGAGAUGCGAAAAGAUGCUACCUUGGGGGGCCCGGGGGGGCGUUGUUAAGCGCUGCCCUCCAGAGAGUGACCAGCAAAGCCGAACUUCGGGGGUCCAAGUACUAUGGUUACUAAUCCUGGGCAGGGGUAGAAAGCCUGCCUCGGAAUGCCUAGGGCUGUCAUUUGAGCGUGUUUACUUAAGGACUUUGCAUGCGGAGCGCAAGCGGAAUAGUAGGCUUCUCCUAGAGACAGCAAAUGUUUGCAGGCUGGAGAACGAAGCGGAGCGGGGCCGUGCUGCCUUGUCCCUCCUCCCGGAGCCACGGCGCUGGCCUGGGCCGAUCUGAUGGCGCGGUUAGCGACUGAAGUGAAGCCGGGAGCCUGAAAGGCUGGGAGGUCGGGGAGAAAGCAGAGCAACACCGAAGGCCAAAAACUAAAUACACAGCCCGGGACCCCGACGACUCAAGGACUAGGGAAAAAGUCCCUUCCCAUUCCAGCUUGGUCAAUCUUCCUUCGAUGUGAUUGAUUAAUAAAAACAAAGUGAAAAGACUGUGGUCGCUGUGCGUCUGGGAAGGAAGUGGAGGCCAGAGGAAUCCAGGCCGGCGUCAGUACCCCCUUACCACUGGUUCACAACCCGGAGGUCUGCAUCGCCUUGGACAAGGGGAGCGGAGCAGUGGCGAGAACCCAGGGGAGACCGCGCGGAGCCUUUAAUUGGGUGUAUCCGUUUUAACAGUGGCCAUUGUUGAAGCAAUUAGCGAGAGACAAUAACCACCGAGAUGCGUUUAAUUCGAUUCUGCGCACGCUGCAAUCCCCGCCUGGGCUCUGCGAUAUGCAGGCCUGGGUUAACCCGGAGGGUCUGUUUGUGAAGUUUAAAACACCAGAGGAAAGCUACCCAAGCCAGAAGGAACCGGGUAACGUUGUGGAGACUACCAAAGAAGAGACGCGCUAGGCAAUUAAUUACUCCCCUCGCACUCCGCCCUCAGCCCAGCCCCGGCCCUCGCCUUCAUCUUCGAGGGAUUCUUGCCCUUCCUCAGCCACUACUAUUUUCCCUCGCUUGAGAAAACCCCUGAUUAUAGCGAGAUUUAAAAAAAAAAAAAAAAAAAAAAAAAAAAAAAAAGGUAGACAUAGGGUUGAAGCGGAAAGGGACAGGCAGACAGGGAGAAGACCGGGGAUUUCUGCUUUCGAAUAGAACAAAGCACGGCGUCGGAGAUGCUGACUAGGGAGCCUAAGCACAGGCUGGGAAGAGAAAGAACUAAUCCAGAAAGAAGGACGUGUGCACUUUCUAGCUAUCCCUGGAGGAAUCGUGGGAAAGAGGAAGGAAUGCGGGUGAGCCAUUGGGAAGUGCAGGCUCCGGCAGCCGCUCCUCUGCCCUUUGGCAUCAUUAAUUUUCGGUGGGAUAUUCGCAGCCUCUAGACCUGGCCGGCUCCCAGGAAAGCUCCGGGCCCCACCUUUAAAGCACCUAGAAUUCGUCGUGGCAUCCAAGAAAAUCUGGAGCCAGGUGGUUGGGGCUCGACCACUUAAACACACAGGCCCCUUCGUCUUAGUAAAGUCGUGAAGCCGAGAGGCUGAGGAGGGCCAACCUGGGUCACCUGCUAGGCUCAGCCUGGCCUCUAGGUUCUCCUGGCUAGCUGAUCCCCAGCUAGCAGCUAGCGCUCCGCAAUCCCCAGCGUCUGCAGCCCACUCUCCUCUGGAGCUUUGGUGGUUUCAAAAGGAGAAAAUGGGCUUUAUCUUGGAGAUGUGGGGCUUUUGCGUCUCUAGAUUAGCCUAAGGAAUCGGAGUGCUGGAACGCCGAUUGUUGGAGGGACAAUCCACCGUGGACUAGGGAUGUGGAGGCUUCACAGCAGAGAAAAGCAGGAGGAGAUGCGCUUCAGAUCCUGGGACGAGCAGAAGAUGGCUUUUUUUUUUUUUUUUUUAAAAAAAAAAAAAACAAGAAUCAUCAGUGUCAUUUGACACGAAGUUGACCCCAUAGAAAAGAUCGUGGUUAUGCCUAGCUCAGACUGGCAAAAAUGAAGACUUCCCGGGCAUCAUGGGUUCUUUGCCCAGAGCUACUGCUUGCCGGUCUGUGUGGGACUCUCGGGUCCAGGUCCAGGUUUACCGGGCACCCUCCACAGCCUGCCACCUCAGCAAACUGAGCUCCAGCAUUUUGUCACAUAAACUAAAACAGCGACCAGACGCAAGUGCUGACCCAUCACUAGCUCCUUGCAGACCCCCUUCUCUGGACAAACCGAGACCUCUGAGAGAGCGCCUGGCAACCCUUCUUCAUCCAAGUUGCCUGUGCACUCAUUCAACAUCACCCUAGCUCCGUUCGACCCAAAAGGAAGCAAAAGGUGCUCUCUGCCCCACCAUUAAUGAACCUCCCGGGUUAUUCCAAGCGUUAGUGGAAAGGGGUGAUCAGAACUUGGAGGUACACAAAGGCAUACCUGGAAAGAAACACAUACUCAAGUGUGAAAUGGCUUAGCCAUCAAGAAUAAAAUAACCCUCCGGGGUAGCCUAGAGAGAGUCAAAAUAGCCCAGGGCUAGAGAACAGAAGGUUUCCCCCCUUCUCACGGUCCCACUCACGGUCCCGUCAGAAUCCUUAUUUCUCUAUCAAAGUCUUCACUACAGGGCACACAAAUUGCUAAAAAAGAUGGAAGCCUUAGUACUCCCAAAGAUACCUGCAACUUCCCUGAGCCCUUCUGUGUGGCUUUGGGCAAUUGGCAAACACACAGAAGGACACUAUCUGUCCUAACGCACGCUUGCACCCCCGUCUCUUCACUAUGCACACAUGUUUUCUGCAAGAAGGCAGAAUCAAAAUAGGAAAGAAAGGAAAAUGCAGAUAGCCUGCCCUGGGCUUUGGAUUGUAACAAGAGGGCUGGAGAAUCUGGGGCUGCCAGCAAGGACCGCUUGUGUAGAGGGUGAUGUCAACCACCACCAUGCAUGGUAUUCUCUAUGCCCUGUUGUGUCCUGGAGCCAGAAACCUUAGGCCUCAGUGAGCCACUAACUUGAACCUGGAAGCUGGGCCUUCUGCUAAAUCCUAAUGCUAAAUCAAUCAGUAAACAGAGUUCAUUGAUACCUACAUAAGUCUUGGUCUAGCAGGACAAAAAUUACAUCUAGACCUAGUUCAAACUGAUAGAGAACAUUUUUACUCUUGUUUUAUAGGAAGCCCUCUUCCCCACAAACAGCAGUUUGGGCAGCCAAACAGCUUGCUUAGAAAUACCUGGACUCGUUAAACUUGGUUCUCUGGGAUUUCUUGGCCAUCAACCUGCCGCUGGCAGGGACAGCCUACUUCCACCACCACCAAAGAGUAAGGGACUGCAGAGAGGACACCUUCAUUAUCUGUCCCCCUUCAGAGUUCUGGGUCUCUCAAACUGUGAUUUCAGGGUCCUGGGGUGGUCUCUAAGGGGGAGGAGAUGGUCAAGAAAUGUGGAAAUACACCUACACCAAGGGGGAUCUAGCAGGCACAGCUACUUCAUUCCUAUUCUGGAUGGAAUCACACCUGUCAGUUUGUCACCCUACUCUAUUAAAGAAUUAGAUUUAAAAAAAAAUAAUAAAGCAACUGCUCUGCUCAUAUCUCAGAUUCA